rnacentral:rRNA from 1 species
UUGACCUCGGAUCAUGCAGGGAUACCCGCUGAACUUAAGCAUAUCAAUAAGCGGAGGAGAGAAACCAACUGGGAUUGCCUCAGUAACGGCGAGUGAAGCGGCAACAGCUCAAAUUAGAAAUCUGGCUCUGUUAUGGUCCGAGUAGUAAUAUGUAGAGGAUGCUUCAGCGUGGGCUCCGGUCUAAGUACCUUGGAACAGGACGUCAUAGAUGGUGAGAAUCCCGUAUGUGAUCAGUUGCCUAUGCCAUGUGAAGCUCCUUCGACGAGUCGAGUUGUGUGGGAAUGCAGCUCUGAAUGGGAGGUAAAUUGCUACUAAAGCUAANACUGACAGAGACCGAUAGCGCACAGUAGAGUGAUCGACAGAUGAAAA